rnacentral:rRNA from 1 species
UCAAGAGUACGUGAAACUGCCUAGAGGUUAAGCCCGAUGAACCUGAAUAUCCAUUAUGGAAAAUUCAAUGCUAAUAUAAAAAUAUAAAAAAAAUAUUUUAAAAAUAGUGUGCAAUUUUUCCAUAUAAGGACAUUGUAAUCUGUUAAUGUUAUAAAUAUUUAUCAAAAGAUCCAUUACUUAAGUUUAUUCAAAUUGUUUAUCUUCGGAUUUUCAACAUAAAAUAAAUGUUUUGGAUUUGAUAAAUCAUUGACAGAUAUAAUUAUAUAUUGUGCUUAAAUUUUUCGGAAUUUUACAAUGGUAAAUAGAUCUAUUGAUUUGUUUAUAUAUUUGUAUGCACUUUUAUGAUUAACAAUGCGAUAGAUUCAGGAUACCUUCGGGACCCGUCUUGAAACACGGACCAAGGAGUCUAACAUAUGUGCAAGUCAUUGGGUAUUUUUAAUAAAACCCAAUGGCAUAAUUAACUUAACUUAAUUUAAUGGGAUUAGUUUAUAAUUUGUUAUGAAUUAUUUAUUCAAUCCCGGGGCGUUCUAUACAGUUAUGCAUAAUGAUAUUUAUAUUAUUUAUGUCUCUAACUAGAGCGUACCUUGAGCAUAUAUGCUGUGACCCGAAAG